rnacentral:rRNA from 1 species
UACGGAGGGGGCUAGCGUUGUUCGGAAUUACUGGGCGUAAAGCGCACGUAGGCGGCUUUGCAAGUUAGAGGUGAAAGCCCGGAGCUUAACUCCGGAAUUGCCUUUAAAACUGCAUCGCUAGAAUUGUGGAGAGGUGAGUGGAAUUCCGAGUGUAGAGGUGAAAUUCGUAGAUAUUCGGAAGAACACCAGUGGCGAAGGCGACUCACUGGACACAUAUUGACGCUGAGGUGCGAAAAGCGUGGGGAGCAAACAGG